rnacentral:misc_RNA from 1 species
UGGAAAGCAGUGCAAGGGUGAAUCAACUAAUAUCAAGGCUUUAUCUCCAGCCAACAUUGCAAAAAAGAUGAAACUGAAAUUUACAAAAGCCUGGAUAUCAUUCCUUAGACUAACACUUCCUGUUGAUGUUUACAAAGAGGUUCUGGUUAACCUUCAUCAAGUUGUUAUUCCCUAUCUGUCUAAUCCUCUUAUGUUGUGUGAUUUCUUAACUCGGUCAUAUGAUAUUGGUGGGGUGGUCAGUGUGAUGGCUCUUAGCAGCUUGUUUGUUCUCAUGACACAACAUAGUCUUGAGUACCCCAACUUCUAUGAAAAGCUCUAUGCUCUAUUAGAACCUUCUAUUUUUAUGGCAAAACAUAGGGCAAAGUUCUUCCAGCUUCUUGAUUCGUGCCUGAAAUCACCACUUCUUCCUGCAUAUUUGGCGGCUGCAUUUUGUAAAAAACUCAGUCGGUUAUCGCUCGCUGUCCCUCCUUCAGGAGCAUUAGUCAUUAUUGCUCUAAUUCAUAAUCUCUUACGGAGACAUCCUUCAAUAAAUUGCUUGGUGCACCAGGAGGAUGGUA